rnacentral:rRNA from 1 species
UACAGAGGUCCCAAGCGUUGUUCGGAUUCACUGGGCGUAAAAGGUGCGUAGGUGGCCAGGUAAGUUCGGUGUGAAAGCUCGGAGCUUAACUCCGAAAUGGCAUUGAAUACUAUCUGGCUGGAGGGUCGGAGGGGAGACUGGAAUUCUCGGUGUAGCAGUGAAAUGCGUAGAUAUCGAGAGGAACACCAGUGGCGAAGGCGAGUCUCUGGACGACUCCUGACACUGAGGCACGAAAGCUAGGGGAGCAAACAGG